UACAGAGGGUGCGAGCGUUGUUCGGAAUUAUUGGGCGUAAAGCGCGUGUAGGCGGCCUUGCAAGUUGGGUGUGAAAGCCCUCGGCUUAACCGAGGAAGUGCGCCCAAAACUACGGGGCUUGAGUGCCGGAGAGGGUGGCGGAAUUCCCGGUGUAGAGGUGAAAUUCGUAGAUAUCGGGAGGAACACCAGUGGCGAAGGCGGCCACCUGGACGGCAACUGACGCUGAGACGCGAAAGCGUGGGGAGCAAACAGG
rnacentral:rRNA from 1 species